UUAUAAAAACCGAAUUACUCUCUCUCCAAUUCCCACGCCCAGUUCUUCCUCCCUCUUUAUUAUUUUCUUCUUUUUCCUCUUUACUUCUUUCUUCUUUCUCCUUCUUGUUCUUUGUUCUUCCUUCUUCUUGCGCAAACCGAAGGCAGCAGGAGAGGGAGAUGCCGAGAUAUUGAGAGACGAGAGAGUGAGAAUGGGGGAGAGAUGCUGAGAGUCAGAGAGAGAGACCGAGAGAUCGGGAGAGAGAGGAUCCGUGAGUGGGAGACCCGACGAGGCAGGAGGGAAAUCCGACCGCUCAGAGGUCCGGUUCUCGGUGGGUGGUGCUGGGUCGUCGCCGGCAGAGCCAAAGCCGACGAUCGGCGGAACCCAGGGGUUUGAAUCCACGACCCGUUAGCCCAGAAAACCCGCGACCCGCGAGCCAAACCCGACGGAUCCGGGAGAACCCGUGCGGCCCGAACCUCCCGGAGGUCCGAUCCUCCAUGUCCGGCGGCUAGACGCCGAUUUUCGACGAGCAAGGCGACUUUCCGGCUGAUCCACGAAGCCCGAAGCCUCUGACCCGAAAACCCGACCCGGUGACCCGUCAGACCCGGUUCUUCCAGUGGCUUUUCCGGCGGUUCCAGUGGCGAUUCCGGCGAGCUAGAAGCUGGAUUUCCGGUGGUCAUCACCAAUUUGAACAGAGGUCUAAUUCUUGGUGGAUUUUCUGUGAGAAUCCUUAAUAUGAUGAAUUGAGACUGCACAAAAGGGCUAUGUUUGCGCAGGUUUUGAAGAUUAUGGAUUGGAUUAACUACUAGCUUAAGAGAUUUAAAGCUGUGUAGUUAGGAUUUCAGUACUUUGUACUCAUAGAUGUUUGUACCAUUUGCCUGUAACAUGUUUAGACAUUUACUUGUAAUUAAUAAGUUCCAUGUAUGCUUUAGUGUCAUAUGUGACACAUGUUUCUUUGUAAAUGGUGUAAAGAAUUUUAAUGUAUUUUCUAGAAGAUGUCAGUUAAAGCUCUGAAUGUAAUGUAAGGGAAUUGUCCCUGAUGUUUGAAAAAAAAAAGAUAUUCGUAUU